CGGAGGGAUCAUUACCGAGUUUACAACUCCCAAACCCCUGUGAACAUACCAAUUGUUGCCUCGGCGGAUCAGCCCGCUCCCGGUAAAACGGGACGGCCCGCCAGAGGACCCCUAAACUCUGUUUCUAUAUGUAACUUCUGAGUAAAACCAUAAAUAAAUCAAAACUUUCAACAACGGAUCUCUUGGUUCUGGCAUCGAUGAAGAACGCAGCAAAAUGCGAUAAGUAAUGUGAAUUGCAGAAUUCAGUGAAUCAUCGAAUCUUUGAACGCACAUUGCGCCCGCCAGUAUUCUGGCGGGCAUGCCUGUUCGAGCGUCAUUUCAACCCUCAAGCCCCCGGGUUUGGUGUUGGGGAUCGGCGAGCCCUUGCGGCAAGCCGGCCCCGAAAUCUAGUGGCGGUCUCGCUGCAGCUUCCAUUGCGUAGUAGUAAAACCCUCGCAACUGGUACGCGGCGCGGCCAAGCCGUUAAACCCCCAACUUCUGAAUGUUGACCUCGGAUCAGGUAGGAAUACCCGCUGAACUUAAGCAUAUCAAUAAGCGGAGGAAAAGAAACCAACAGGGAUUGCCCUAGUAACGGCGAGUGAAGCGGCAACAGCUCAAAUUUGAAAUCUGGCUCUCGGGCCCGAGUUGUAAUUUGUAGAGGAUACUUUUGAUGCGGUGCCUUCCGAGUUCCCUGGAACGGGACGCCAUAGAGGGUGAGAGCCCCGUCUGGUUGGAUGCCAAAUCUCUGUAAAGUUCCUUCGACGAGUCGAGUAGUUUGGGAAUGCUGCUCUAA
rnacentral:rRNA from 1 species